rnacentral:rRNA from 1 species
GAUGAACGCUAGCUACAGGCUUAACACAUGCAAGUCGCGGGGCAGCAUGGGGGUUGCUUGCAAUCCCUGAUGGCGACCGGCGCACGGGUGAGUAACGCGUAUCCAACCUGCCCUUCACCACGGGAUAACCCGGCGAAAGUCGGACUAAUACCGUAUGUUGUCCAUUGACGGCAUCCGAUUUGGACGAAAGGCUUAGCGGUGAGGGAUGGGGAUGCGUCCGAUUAGCUCGACGGCGGGGUAACGGCCCACCGUGGCAACGAUCGGUAGGGGUUCUGAGAGGAAGGUCCCCCACACUGGAACUGAGACACGGUCCAGACUCCUACGGGAGGCAGCAGUGAGGAAUAUUGGUCAAUGGGCGGAAGCCUGAACCAGCCAAGUAGCGUGCAGGAUGACGGCCCUAUGGGUUGUAAACUGCUUUUAUGCGGGGAUAAAGGGGCCCACGUGUGGGCUUUGCAGGUACCG